UACGAAGGGGGCUAGCGUUGCUCGGAAUCACUGGGCGUAAAGCGCACGUAGGCGGAUUGCUAAGUCAGGGGUGAAAUCCUGGAGCUCAACUCCAGAACUGCCUUUGAUACUGGGCAUCGUCGACGGGCGGAGAGGUGAGUGGAACUGCGAGUGUAGAGGUGAAAUUCGUAGAUAUUCGCAAGAACACCAGUGGCGAAGGCGGCUCACUGGCCCGGUACGUGACGCUGAGGUGCGAAAGCGUGGGGAGCAAACGG
rnacentral:rRNA from 1 species